CCAACAUGUAAAGAGCUUAGAAGUCAUCACUACCAUCUUACAGGAAGCUGUUUUAUGAGUGACAUAAGGAGAGCACACACAGGAAUGAGCUGAGGCAGAGUUACAGGUUAAAAGAAAGAGUUGCCCUCCCAGAGACAAGUUAGACUACCCUCUAAAGAGUGCUGUCAAACCAAUACUGUGCCAGGCCACAGGAGAGACAUCCUGAUGAAUGCUGGAACUUGGCUAUUGCUAUCAUGGUUUAUAAGCAUAACAGAUAGCCUAGACACUAUGGAUGGAAGCUUGGAAUAUCAUCGGAUAGAGUGGCACCAUCAGAGGAAUUCCUGGUAUUACCAAAUGAAGUAGGCAUGGGAACAGUUUUUGUGACAAAUAUUUUGGAUGUCUUCACUCUACCCCUCACCCACUGUAGGGAAGUGAAGGCAUGAGAAUUUGAACAGAAGAGACACCCUACUACCUGUACUUCCUACACAAGACCCAGUGACCACAGGCUCCCAACAAAUGAGCCAGGCCUCUGCUUAUUCUUCAACACGCAUAUCACAUCACCCUAGCAAGAAAUGGAUUUCCUCUGCAUUAUUGUUUAUCUGGAGAGAAUAACAGUUCACAAAGUCCAAUCAGAUCAAAGCAACUUCAUGAUCGAAUUAAGCCUCACAUGGAUUCAAAAACACUUCUAUUGAGUACCUGUGACAUUGCAUAAAAUGACUACAGCUUCAAGCACAAUGUCAAUGAAAUAAAAGUUAUACCUUGUGAAAUA
rnacentral:lncRNA from 1 species